rnacentral:rRNA from 1 species
GAUGAACGCUGGCGGCGUGCCUAACACAUGCAAGUCGAGCGAUUUACUUCGGUAAAGAGCGGCGGACGGGUGAGUAACGCGUGGGUAACCUGCCCUGUACACACGGAUAACAUACUGAAAGGUAUGCUAAUACGGGAUAACAUAAGAGAGUCGCAUGGCUUUCUUAUCAAAGCUUUUGCGGUACAGGAUGGACCCGCGUCUGAUUAGCUAGUUGGUAAGGUAACGGCUUACCAAGGCGACGAUCAGUAGCCGACCUGAGAGGGUGAUCGGCCACAUUGGAACUGAGACACGGUCCAAACUCCUACGGGAGGCAGCAGUGGGGAAUAUUGCACAAUGGGCGAAAGCCUGAUGCAGCAACGCCGCGUGAGCGAUGAAGGCCUUCGGGUCGUAAAGCUCUGUCCUCAAGGAAGAUAAUGACGGUACUUGAGGAGGAAGCCCCGGCUAACUACGUGCCAGCAGCCGCCGCGG